UUUAUAUCUUGACAUUUGAAUGUUCUAUGAGUUCCGUGGCGUGAUUAAAUGAUCCGAUCUUUCACCGUUAAAUGAAACAUCAUUAAAUUAUAUUAAUUAACCAAAUCCUUGCCACAGGACAUUACUUUUCUGAAUGGCAGAAGUCAAGCCUAAGGAAAUGGACAUGGACACAAGUCAUCAGUAUCCAAAGAUAUUCCUUUAAAAAUUAGAGCGUCUCCAGACUUUCCAAAUUGAUGGACUAAAAUAUUGAAUUAGAUUUCUAAUAUUUUGAAUUUACUCAAGAUACAUUAAAUUGUGUUAUAAAUCAACACAAACAAUGUUUUAAAUUUUCGCGGUACUGCUUAAUAUGGAAGGAGCUUGGGUGUCUCCUUGGUGAUUUUCCGGAAAUAGCAAGGCAUGAAUUUGUUUUCUAUUUAAACGAAUGGCGUUCAAACUAACACGAUAAUCAAUCUAUUAUUUAGAUGAUCGAGGUUUAAUAUGUGGAAAUUUCAUCAAGUGUAGCUGCUUGAAACCUUUAACCUUUCUCAUUACCUCUCUCCCUACCAGUUGUCCAAAUAUGAACCAUUAAUAUUUGAAGGAUAAUAUUAAAAAUUGCUUUGGAUUUCCAACUGGUGGGAGACUUUCCUGUUCUGAAAUGAUGAACUUUUUCCAGCUUCUCAGUUUUCUUUGUUUGGUUAAUCAGCUAACUCUAUCAGACUUUUAUCAAAAAUGAAAAAUCCACUAUUGAAGAGAUUAGAAGUCAAGAAUCUUCUAAAUUGAGAGAAAGAACUAAUUAAUCUCACAGAAAAAUGUUCUUACCAUCUCACGCUUUUAGCAAGUUAAUGCUCACCUGAGCAGGUUCAUGAGCAUCUUUGACAGAGGACAUUUACACUGUAAUGGAGAAAGUAGCUCAUAAUUAAUUUGCUCAAACUGGUUUCAUUAACCUGUACAUUCAACAGAGUUAAAAGCAUAUCAAAUGUUAUAUCUCUGGAUGAUCAAAACUUCCCCAAGAAAUGACUUGAACUUUGAGUAAACCCUUUUUAAUUGUUUCAAUCUUCAGCGCUGUAAGGUAAGGUUCCAUGACGAUGUCUUUCAAUCGAAGAAACCAACUCGAAGUUUCUAAACCACGUGUUGAUGUGGGCUGCUAUUUCUAAAUGGCUAGCGAAUUCGGGAAAUCCCUUUUGUAUCAUUCUUUUUCGUUCCAAGACGUAUAAUCAUCUCUAAUUCAAUUAUUCCGCUCUUCUAGUGUAACAGGCAAUCGUGAAUAAUUUAUUUUAUUUGAAGGAACAGUUGAAUUUGAAAGAAAUAAACUGACAGCUAUCAUCGAAGUUACCUAAUCAAAGUUUGGUUUGGCGGAUAAGAGAAUCGUUUGGAAAUAAGUUUCUGUGUUCAUUUUAUUAGACCAUUUAAAUUCUGGUUCCAGGAUAAUUUGAGCAGAUAUUCUAUCAAGAUAGAUUCCACCAGUAAAAAGGAAAGAAGGAGAAACAAAACUCAUCGAAAGAGGCCAUAAAUAGUUACCAAAACCAGAUUAUGGUUUCAAUCACAGGCUUUUCUCAAUUUUUCAGCCUUUAUUUUUGUUCAACAAGUUUCUCUGGAAUAUCAAUAUAGCCUUAGGGUUGAUGAGUUUUCUUGCCUUUCAUCUGACUUUACAUCUCAUCCCUUACAUCCAAAUUUUCAAUAAUUUUUCAAACUCACAAAGGAUAGUCUUUAUGAUGAUGAAUAAUUUCCCAUCUUGGAUAAAUGCUUUCUGUUUUUCUGGUAAUACUGGAAAGAAACAUAUUUAUUAAUUAUCAUUAUCCUAGUCAUUAUAUACCAUUACUAUCACAACUAUCAAAUUGGUUACAAAUGUUGUUUCAACUCUUUUUCAAGCUGAGAAAAGGUUCACCUAGUAACAUUAAUAAAAUGCUGUGAUUAAAA